ACGUGUUUUAAUGAGGUUAAAAUGAGGUUUUCUUUUAUUUAUUCCUCAUUUAAGAUGAAACUCGAGUCCAAACACGAGGAGUCGGUAGAGGAGACCAGCUGACCCGCUCCAGUCCCUCCUGAUCCUCCUGAUCCUCCAGGUGAGCAGCAGCAGGAGAUGCAGAAAACACAAACAGUACAUUUGAUGUCAUUCUAAAGUUUGGACUUUGGUUUUUGCAGUGAAAUCUGAAUAAUUGAAGGUUUGAACAAACAGGAUUAACUGGAACAGAUUUCUGCUUCUAGGAGCAGCUCAGAUCAGAUCAGAUCAGAUCAGGAUUCAUGGUGACGGUUGGACAUGAACUCCUCUUUUCCCUCCAGCAGCAGCUGACUGACUGACGGUCUCUAGGUGGGCACCGUGGAGGUGGCGGCGUUCCCCCCAUCGCCCCUCCAGUCCAGGUAGGAGAAGAAAGCGCUGGCGCCGUACAGCAGCGUCAUGACGGCGGCAAAGAACUGAGACGGAGAAAGAGAACGAGCUAGUCAGAAAGAGGAACACGUUUGAUCCGCUGCAGAUCACCAUCUGCUUCUCUUUGGUCACAAGCUUCUCUCAAACCAGAUCAGAUGAGGAUUUGUUAAUAUUCAGCUUCUUUUUUAUAUUAUCAACUUAAAAAAAUCAUUAUUAUUAUUAAUUUGGAGAUGUUUUUAAUGAAAAGCACUUUGAGCUGCACUAAGCUGCUCUAUAAAUAAAGAUUGAUUUGAUUAAAAGCUGCAGAAAUAAGAACAUUAUUAUUAAAAUGAACAUUUUUGCUCCAAAUUCUCAACAUGGCAACUGAAUUUAAGACCCAAAUUUCACAGGUUUAGUCUUUAGGAUGUUAUUUUAAAGGUAGAUUGUCAUUUAUUGUCAUCAUUUUGGAGACUAAAUUCAGAUUUAUGUUCUGAGAACAGAUUUUAUGUUGAAGAUUCUUAUUUUGUUUCCAUUUUAAAUGAGUCAUUUCCACUUUUAUUCUAUUUUUAUGUCAAUAAAUCCCAUAAACCUUAUUCUUGUGUUGGGGUCGGCUCAGACCCGUUUCAAUUUUAAAUUCCACAAAAGAACGAUUCAACAUGAAUUAUUUCCAUCAAAGCGUUAUGACUGUCAGGAACAUUUAUUUCAACAAAAUUCAGUUUUUUUAUUUUUAUUUUCGGACUAUAAGUCACAGUUUUAUUCACAGUUUAUCCGGGGUGUGACUUAAACUCAGGAGUGACUUAUUUGUGAUUUUUUUUUUAGACAUAAAUAAAUUAAAUAUUUGUUAUUUUCCCAGUAAACACUGGUUGUGUUUUAGUGGUUGUUUCCUCUAAGAACCACUAGAGGGCGCUGCAUCUAUCAGUAUUUACUACUGACAGCAGAAGAAGAGUCGUCCAAAACAAACAUGGAAGAGAAUCUGAUUGUCUUCCGCUUACACUUUGAUAUUCUUCUAAAACAGAUCAAAAGAUUAAUAUUCUUCUUUUUAUUGUAUUUUCUUUUUUUUUAGCUUCAUUGGACUUAACAGUUUUGUUCUGAAACUUUUCUUCUGAAAAUGCGACUUGUGUCGUUUCUGGUGUUUGGGUCGGUUUUGACCCGGUUCUAGAAAUAACUAUAAUUAGAGCCAAAAUGAAAAUCAUUAGUGAGUUCCAGGAGAUUCUCAUCUGUUCAGUAUAUUUAAGAAAAUCCAAACUUUUCUCUGAUUUUAAUCCUUUUGUAAGAUUGAAAUGAUUCUAUGGUUUGAUUUGAUGGUUGUUUGUGUUCCGUUGAGUUUGGAUUAAAGUUCUGUUGAUGACAAAAACACAGAUGUAAUUCUAUUUGCUUAUUCUUGAAGAAAAUAUAAAUGGGUCAAAACGGACUCAUGACGUGAUAGAAGUUACUGGAGUUACUGAAAAAUAAAUCUAACUAAUUUCAGAGAUCGAAACUUCUCAGAAAAAUUCCAUUAACAAAAUAACUUGAAUUUCCUUUGACCAGAAAUAAGAAAAAGGUUUUUACAAACCAAACUCUGGUUUUAAAAAUGACAUCUGUUUAAAUUCUGUAUUUUAUUUGUAUUAUUUAGUAUUUUACCUGUGUUUAACAACUGAAUGUGUCCGGUUUAUCUCUUAAACUUUCAUUUGUUUCAAUGUUCAAUAUUUCUCACUAAAGUUACUUUGAUGAUUCUCUUGAGGUUAUUGAUCAGUUUUAUUGAAAUCUAGACGUAUAUUUACUUCCUUUAAAGUCCCAAAGGAAAAAAAGAAAAAAACUUUUCCAU